GUAUUGUGAGCCGGUGACUAACGCCCACACACUGCUGGUUUAUACAAUGUAUUUUCUUUAGACUAAAUAAGGCCUUGGGGGAAAAUAUUAGAUGCAUGUUAUGGGUGCAUCCCAAAUGUUACCUACUGCCUGGGUGAUUCCAAUCUAGAGAUCCUGAAAGAUCUCUGAACUGUAGGAUGUGGUUGGGUGAGGCUUCCAAGAAAGCUGUUUGAACGUGGGCAGGUUUCAAUAAAUGGAAUGUAGAUAUGAUCGUAGUUGUAGCAGCCAUUUUGCAACCACGAGGCAGUUGAGGACUAGAAGCUACACACCUAGGACCAGGGAGGAGAAAGACGAAAAAAGACUGGGCAGUAGGCAUGAGGCAGAGGGCAGCACACUGCCAUGGACAGCCUACUUCCAGGUGUGCUUUAUGCAAGAGCCCUCUUCCAUGAAGCUGGGGUAGGGCUGGCCCACUUCCCCCAAGACCAUCUGCUGGGGACCCCAUGACUUCCUCCUCCUGCCCCAGUGUGAGGUCAGGGCCAUACCAGGCCCCCGAACCUGGCCUGCAGCCCUUGCAGGACAAGAAACCUGGCUCAGGAAAGGAAUUCUGCAGAUGCCUAUGAGAACAGAGAGACAGGCAGAUGCCAUCCUUUGAGGCCCUGCAUCUGGGCCACCAGAUAAAAUGCAACCCACCAUGUUCAGUUUCAAUUCCA
rnacentral:lncRNA from 1 species